AGAACAGUUUUAGGUUCACAUGCUAUUUCUAACCAUGGCUGUCUUCAUAACUAAACAGAAGCUCAGGACUCCAGCUGUUUCCUGAGCAUCGUUAACCUGAGUGCCCAUGUUUUCUGUAAUAUAGGACCAGUCUUGGCAUCAAAGGGUGUUUAAUUGUGCCUGUUUCUCUCUACUGCUUGUGACAUUCUGCUAUGUCUAAGAAAGUGUUUCUGUCUCCAAGACUUCUGAAGAACUAAAAGAUAACCUGUGUGUAGGCUUAGGUUUUUUCAAAACCACUUUAAUAAGGGUUCAUAAAAGCUUUAUCUUCUCUUCUAGCCCACCACCCAUCAGAGGUAGUGGAAAGGAAAGGUUAAUAAGGCAAAGGGGGAUGUGGACCUGUCUAAAAAUAGUUCUUUGGGGAAUUUCAAUCUUCACUGUCAGGAUAUCAGCAGUUCAUUUUGCAUGAAUCACUAUCAGUAGUUCGGUCUAUUGGCAAACACCAUUUAUGGAUCAGUAAUAGCAGUUUGACACAGAAGAAACUUUGAGGCUCUGCCAAUUUUGGCCUGAGUCUGCAGAAGUGGCAAGAAGCCACAGAAGACCAGCAAAGAGUGGUAAAGUGAGCCAAUGCCACACUGCCUUCCAUUGUUUGUUGGGUUAUAUUUAUACUCGUGCCAAACAUCACGAGUCCUCUCAGACAUCUGUUCCAGUGAAACAUCACAUGCCCCCUUUCCAGGCAGCUCCCAGAAAAACACCACAUGUCUGUUUUCAGCAAAACACCCUGCCUGCCUUAGUAAAACAUUCUCUCAUAUGACAGUUUCCAGAAAAACAUCACACGAUACAACUGUGUCUCCAAAGAAACCAGAAAUGUCCACUUCACCUGUGAUCUUCCCAGAGGUUUAAUACUGUGUUGCUAAACUCUCUUUAACACCAGAAACUGAGUUCAACAGACUGUAUGUGGUAACUAUUCCUUCACGUCCCAACAUCAGAUGGGUAAACAGAAGAUGAGUCCAGUGAAUCCUUAAACUGUCUCAUGGCAAAAGACCGGAUAGAAAAAAAAUAAUGUUUCACC
rnacentral:lncRNA from 1 species